rnacentral:rRNA from 1 species
UACGGAGGGUGCAAGCGUUGUUCGGAAUUACUGGGCGUAAAGCGCGCGUAGGCGGUUUAGCAAGUUGAGAGUGAAAGCCCGAGGCUUAACUUCGGAAUUGCUUUCAAAACUACUAAGCUAGAGUAUGGUAGGGGAUAGUGGAAUUCCUAGUGUAGAGGUGAAAUUCGUAGAUAUUAGGAGGAACACCAGUGGCGAAAGCGACUGUCUGGGCCAUUACUGACGCUGAGGCGCGAAAGCGUGGGGAGCAAACAGG